AGCUUUUACAAGCACGGAAGCCAUCAUCUUUUUUUCGGUUAAAUCUACCCUCUGCAGAGUGUCGGGUAGGUUCUUGUUUUACGGCCCACGAUCUGGCCAAACCACUACAUUACAGUCAGAUGUUUAUAUAUCAAAUCUCAUGUCCACAGGUAAACACCUCAAUACUCUUACAGUCGCUGGUUACCUCUACGUUGACAGCUCAGCCUGAC